GACGAACGCUGGCGGCGUGCUUAACACAUGCAAGUCGAACGGCAAGGCACUGCGUUCGUGGGGUGCUCGGGUGGCGAACGGGGGAGUAACACGUGAGUAACCUGCUCUUCACUUUGGGAUAACUUCAGGUAACUGGGGCUAAUACCGGAUAGGAGCCCCCGCUCCAUGGUGGGCGUUGGAAAGUCUCGGCGGUUGCGGAUGGACUGGCGGGUGAUCAGCUAGUUGGUGGGGUAGAGGCCCACCAAGGCGACGAUCCGUAGCCGGCCUGAGAGGGUGACCAGCCACACGGGAACUGAGACACGGUCCAGACUCCUACGGGAGGCAGCAGUGGGGAAUAUUGGACAAUGGGCGCAAGCCUGAUCCAGCCAUACCGCGUGGGUGAAGAAGGCCUUCGGGUUGUAAAGCCCUUUUGUUGGGAAAGAAAAGCAGCAGGUUAAUACCCCGCUGUUCUGACGGUACCCAAAGAAUAAGCACCGGCUAACUUCGUG
rnacentral:rRNA from 1 species